AGAGUUUGAUCAUGGCUCAGAUUGAACGCUGGCGGCAGGCUUAACACAUGCAAGUCGAGCGGGCGAGGUUGCUUCGGUAACUGAGCUAGCGGCGGACGGGUGAGUAAUGCUUAGGAAUCUGCCUAUUAGUGGGGGACAACAUUCCGAAAGGAAUGCUAAUACCGCAUACGCCCUACGGGGGAAAGCAGGGGAUCUUCGGACCUUGCGCUAAUAGAUGAGCCUAAGUCAGAUUAGCUAGUUGGUGGGGUAAAGGCCUACCAAGGCGACGAUCUGUAGCGGGUCUGAGAGGAUGAUCCGCCACACUGGGACUGAGACACGGCCCAGACUCCUACGGGAGGCAGCAGUGGGGAAUAUUGGACAAUGGGCGGAAGCCUGAUCCAGCCAUGCCGCGUGUGUGAAGAAGGCCUUUUGGUUGUAAAGCACUUUAAGCGAGGAGGAGGCUACUUGGAUUAAUACUCUAGGAUAGUGGACGUUACUCGCAGAAUAAGCACCGGCUAACUCUGUGCCAGCAGCCGCGGUAAUACAGAGGGUGCGAGCGUUAAUCGGAUUUACUGGGCGUAAAGCGUGCGUAGGCGGCUUCUUAAGUCGGAUGUGAAAUCCCUGAGCUUAACUUAGGAAUUGCGUUCGAUACUGGGAAGCUAGAGUAUGGGAGAGGAUGGUAGAAUUCCAGGUGUAGCGGUGAAAUGCGUAGAGAUCUGGAGGAAUACCGAUGGCGAAGGCAGCCAUCUGGCCUAAUACUGACGCUGAGGUACGAAAGCAUGGGGAGCAAACAGGAUUAGAUACCCUGGUAGUCC
rnacentral:rRNA from 1 species